GUGGAUUGUUGCUUGUUUGCCCUUAUCAUUUGAGAGAACUAUGAUAUAUAUGUGUGCUACUGUUUUCAUUCUUCAUUGAUCUUUAAAUUGUCCUGUUGGGUGCAUGAAAAUGAGGGGAAAUGUUGCUGAAAUUUGCAUUUGAAUCAGCUAUUUUUUUCAUUCUCUGGAAAUUUUGGUUCCUUUCGGUUAGAACCAAAACCGAACCGAAUUACCCGGAACUGAAAACCUCGGUUUCGUGUUUUGUCAGGAACAGAUCGGUGCCAAGUUUGUAUAGGUAACUGAAUUAGCUACUUACACGAAGAACCGAACCGAUCGGUUUCGGUUAACCAAAUACCCAGAGUGACCGACACCCACACACGCCACGCGCGCGGCCCUAGCCCCACCUCCCCACGCCGAUGCAAAGGAAAACAGAGAGGGA
rnacentral:lncRNA from 1 species